GCAUAUCAAUAAGCGGAGGAAAAGAAACCAACAGGGAUUGCCCCAGUAACGGCGAGUGAAGCGGCAACAGCUCAAAUUUGAAAUCUGGCCCUAGGCCCGAGUUGUAAUUUGUAGAGGAUGUUUCUGACGAGGUACCUUCCGAGUUCCCUGGAACGGGACGCCAUAGAGGGUGAGAGCCCCGUACGGUUGGUCGCCAAGUCUCUGUGAAACUCCUUCGACGAGUCGAGUAGUUUGGGAAUGCUGCUCUAAAUGGGAGGUAUACGUCUUCUAAAGCUAAAUAUAGGCCAGAGACCGAUAGCGCACAAGUAGAGUGAUCGAAAGAUGAAAAGCACUUUGAAAAGAGGGUUAAAUAGUACGUGAAAUUGUUGAAAGGGAAGCGCAUAUGACCAGACUUGGCCAGGUUAAUCAUCCAUCGUUCUCGGUGGUGCACUUUGCCUGGCCAGGCCAGCAUCAGUUCGCUUUGGGGGAUAAAGACUUUGGGAAUGUGGCUCCCUCGGGAGUGUUAUAGCCCAUUGUGUAAUACCCUGGAGUGGACUGAGGUUCGCGCAUCUGCAAGGAUGCUGGCGUAAUGGUCAUCUGCGACCCGUCUUGAAACACGGACCAAGGAGUCGUCUUCGUAUGCGAGUGUUCGGGUGUCAAACCCCUACGCGUAAUGAAAGUGAACGUAGGAGAGAGCUUCGGCGCAUCUCCGACCGAUCCUGAUGUUCUCGGAUGGAUUUGAGUAAGAGCAUACGGGGCCGGACCCGAAAGAAGGUGAACUAUGCCUGUAUAGGGUGAAGCCAGAGGAAACUCUGGUGGGAGGCUCGCAGCGGUUCUGACGUGCAAAUCGAUCGUCAAAUAUGGGCAUGGGGCGAAAGACUAA
rnacentral:rRNA from 1 species